rnacentral:rRNA from 1 species
CCCUUAGAUGUUCUGGGCCGCACGCGCGCUACACUGACGAUGGCAACGAGUUUUUCCUUCGCCGAAAGGUGUGGGUAAUCUUUUGAAACAUCGUCGUGCUGGGGAUAGAUCAUUGCAAUUUUUGAUCUUGAACGAGGAAUUCCUAGUAAGCGCGAGUCAUCAGCUCGCGUUGAUUACGUCCCUGCCCUUUGUACACACCGCCCGUCGCUACUACCGAUUGAAUGGUUUAGUGAGGACUCCUGAUUGGCGCCGCCGCCCCGGCAACGGAGCAGCGGACUGCCGAAAAGUUGUUCAAACUUGAUCAUUUAGAGGAGGUAAAAGUCGUAACA